ACAGUAAUGGCAAAGCUAGAUUUUCAGUAUUAUUACUCCAGUCUUCAGUAUCACAUGAUUCUUCAGAAAUCAUUGAUUUGCUGAAACAUUUCUUAUUAUUAUCAUGUGUUUGUGCAAACUGUGAUACAUUUUUAUCAAGUUCAAAGCAAUGCUACUUUGUUUGACAUUUGAAAAUCUGUAUUAAUCUGACACUAGUUUGACCAGUAAACCCAUUCUGUUAUAUUCAUAAUUGGUUCAUAUUUAGUCUGGUCAACUUUUUAAAUGCAUGCAUAAAAAUUUCAUUGAGUGAAAACAUUAUUUGUUUCCACACUGAACUCAUUGACUCGUGGAAAGAAGAGCUGCCUAGUACAAGCCGUGUUUGUGGGAUCCUAGUUCAGUGGCUAUUUAAGUUCAGUCCAUGUGAAAUUCCCAUCACUUUAAAUUGGCAGUUUCUCUUAGCAGUCCUUACCACACUGGCAUCCCAAAUGUAGAAUGAUUAUGUAUAUUAUGUAAUAUGUUACAUGAGUUACAGGGCCAUCUCCUUUUGUGUGAUUCAACUUGUGUAUAUAAACUAAAGAUUAACUGCUCAUAGUGGAUAGGAAAGGGGAAGAACACUAAUCAUAGUAGAUGCAGUUCUUGGCUACAAACCUUCAAUUUAGAGCUCUAAAUUACACGCAAAGUGCAAGCCUUAGAUCUGUCAUGGUCCAUGAUGGACAACUGAAUCAACCCACCGAAAAAUAAAAAAUAAAAAGAAGAAGAAAACUCUCAAACAAAACUCUGUCCACAGAAACCACUCAUCCAUUACACUGACUCCAGUUUUCGCUGAGCUGCUCCGAUGAUUCCAAAACAUUACGUCAUUGCACAGAGAGGGAACAUCGCUACUAUGGCCAGAGCGGCUGCCAAGGCGUCUGCACAGGACUGUACACUGGAUCCUUUGUGAUGUCCACAAUGUGUGUCCAAGGCAACCACUAGGUAGAGAGGACGGCCCAUAAUGGAACGCUUCUUGUCUUCUUCUCGACAACACAUGAGCUGGUAUUCUGGGCUUCAGUGUGCCCUAUUGGCCUAGCCACAGCCCGGCAGCCUUUCAUUACACUAGCCGAAGGAGGUGCCCUGGACAUCCCCAUCGAAGAUACCAUCACCACACCCCAAAGUGUGCCCAGCUCCGAGCUGUUCCCUGGAUACAACAACAAGAGAGAUGAGAAAACAGCCGCUCUGUUUGCACAUCAUUUAACUGGCAAUCAUCAAGAACAAGCGGUUUGGAAACUGGAUGGAUGGAUGUCAUGGCUGGAACUACACCGCCCCCUGCUGAUCAAAUAGAACUUGCAAGGCAGUUCCUUCCUUCCACAUUCUAUAAAAGUAUGUACUUCAUUAGAAAUUAGUGACAUACAUAACAUACAGUUGAAGUCAAAUGUUUACAUACACCUUGCAGAAUCUGCAAAAAGUUUAUUAAGAAUAUGCAAAAAUUAUUUUACCAAAAAAAGAGACAUCAUACAAAAUGCAUGUUAUUGUUUAUUUAGUACUGACCUGAAUAAGAUAUUUCAUAAAAAAAAAAGAUGUUAACAUAGUCUACAAGAGAAAAUAAUAGUCCCCUUGGUUCUUAAUACUGUGUUGUUACCUGAAUGAUCCACAGGGUUUUUUUUUUUUUUUUUUUUUUUUUAGUUGAUAGUUGUUCAUGAGUCAUUUGUGUAUUUGAACUCUUUCCAACAACGACUGUAUAAUUUUGAGAUCCAUCUUUUCACACUGAGGACAACUGAGGGACUCAUAUUACAGAAGGUUCAAACGCUCACUUAUGGUUCAGAAGGAGGGGGGGGGGACUUUUGAAACAAUUUAAUGCAUUUAAGAGUCAGUGUUACAGGUAGAUUUUGAAUUUAUUAUCUUUUUUAAUCAAAUGAUUACAUCUUUGAUUCUGAUUUAUCUGCAUGGCAAUACUAUACAGUUCACUAGAGGGCAGUAUGGCUAUAUUUUACAUCAAAAUGGCUAUACUUGUGAUGGCCACAUUUCAGUCUUCACAAUAGAAUGAAACAUGUCAAAAACUAAGUUAUGAGAACAUUUCCUGCGGUUUUUAAUAUUUGAAAUGUAAGUCUUAUUUGAUCAUAAUGAGCAUGAUUUGAGAAUAAUCUACGCAAUUUGUGAUUCUGACUGUCUGUGCAAAUGAGUUCAUAUGAUCAAUGUCACAUAACUGUUUUUGAUAGUUACCGUUAAAUAGAUGUGCGGAAUCUGAAAUUUUUAUUAAAUGAACAGAAAUACAAUCAUAUUUAAUUUUAAUAAUAUUUUUUGUUUAAUUUUUUUUAGAAAUCCUAAAACACCAUUAAAACACUCUUACCUACAAAUAGUGUUGAAUCUGUAAUAAAUGUAAUAUAAUAUUAAUUAAAAUUAUUUUCAAAAAUAAUAAAUGUGAUCGUUUUCAUUUUUUCUUCAAAAUCCUAAAAUUGUAUUACCUCGAAAUAGUGCAGAAUCUGAAACAAUAAUUAAAUAAAAAUAAUAAU
rnacentral:lncRNA from 1 species